rnacentral:ncRNA from 1 species
AAUUGAUUGUUUGUUAUGAUAUAUUGUCCAUAGCAGACUUGAUAAAAGCAAAAA